AUGAAGUGCAGAUCCACUAACUUUUGGAAAUCCCAUCCGUCUCACGGUCAUUCCAAAAGAUGUACCGGAAACUGCUCCGGUUCUGUCCAUCUUGUCCCCUUUCAAGGGCGAUGGACCGGAUAUUUGUCUGGCCGCCGGGUUCUUUCCUCAAGAAAAGAAUAUGACUUUGACUUUGGAAGUGAUAAUACAAAAAUCAAUGAAUGCAAAAUGGAUGGACAAACUGCAGACAAAACUCCAGACACUCCUGAAACGACAGAUAAACCCGAAAGACCGACUCCAAACAAAUGUGAAACAAAUGCUAAAACUUCUGCCUCAGGGUUCAUAGACACUGGUGUUCCAAAAAUGAACUUCAUGAAUCUUCUUGUGACAGGUCUGAGAAUUCUGCUUGCUAAAUGUGUUGCAGUUAAUGUAAUGAUGACUGUAAAGGCAUUCGUAUUUUAAAAGUUCAAUUCAGCCAAAUCAUCUGAAUAAUCUCAAUUAUUAAGUGUAACUUGAUCGAACCCUGACAAACAAACAAAUGCGGUUAUACAGUCAGCCACAGGGUCAGUAUUAAUCUAUAUUCUGUCUAAUAAUGUUACAUGGAAUGAAAAAUACAAAUUGUUAGUAAUGUCUUUCAAAUAUACAGAAUAUCAACAAACAUUGCAAACCUUUUUGACAUUUAGAAACAUUUCUGAAUUCAGCGGUAUAAUGUGUGUAUUGCUUUGCAUUGGUGUGUGUAUUUUCAGCUUUAGUUGCAAAUAAGUGCAAGUUAAUUUUUUUAUAUACUUUUACAUUUUUUACUUUUUUUUCCUUCUUUUUUUUUACAUAACAGUAUUGCAUUGUUUAAGACUUUUACAUUGUCUAAUUGUAUAACGGAUAACUAUUUGACUUUACUAUUGAGGCACUGAUCUUUGCAUGUAAUAUGAUUUUUCAAAAAUAUAUUAAAUAAUAAAAUGUCUUGAUAAAAGAGAAGUUUCAUGUGAGUAUGUCUAAACCACAGUUUCAACAGCACAUUGGUACUGGAGGCAGAUUCUAACCACAGUUUCAGAUAAAGAUCUACUGCUCGCUUUGGGUUCCAAGAAUUAGUAUGUUUGUUGCUUCAUUUUUUCCACUGUGUUAAAGAAAGAGAAAAACAGCUGUAAAGUCUUACAGCUACAGUUUUUGGAGUUUUUUUAAUUACUUAAAGUUUUUAAUUACUUAACUUUUACAUAAAAUUAUUUAAAAAUAAAUAUUCCUCAAAAUAGCUUGUCAAACCACUGUUUUGAUGAUUAGCCUACAUUUGAGAAAAGUUAGUAAGUUACUAAGUCUGUUGAGAGCACUUUUUUUGUUUUCUUUAUAAAUCACUUAAUUUUAUUAUUUAUGAACUAUUUAUUAAUGAAUAUUAAGUGAUGUUCUCAACUUUCUUUCAUGAAAACUUUGAGCUGAGCUCGCUACUCAUCUAAGACCAUGAAAUAAAGUGUACUGCCCUCCUGUGGCUGUUAGUGGGAUUUUGCCUUUGGUUUUGACUGGCUGACUUGAGUGACCUCUAGUGGCAGACUGAGCAUUUACAUCCAGUGUGAUUCCGCAUGUUCCACACGUCUUUGGUUUAUGUAAACAUGAAAGACUCUCAAACGCUUUUGGCUCAAGGAAAACAUGAUUCUAGUCUGGCCCAUGUCCCGUUUUUAGUCUGGCUUACCCCGCUGUUAGACGACCCUUUCUAUCACAGAAUAAUAAUAAAAAAUAUCUUAGCUCUCUGCAAAUAGCACAUGGUGGCAUGGAUAACUAGCUUAAACGUCUGUUUUUGCUUGAUACUCCAUCAAAUAUAAAGCGGGACUCAAUAUUAAGUGUUUUGUUCAAGCACAAACGUUAAAUUAGAGCUAAAACGCUUUAAAAUAAGACUUAGCUGCGUUGACGACAAAAACAUUUCGUUUUAAAUACGUUUACAAAACAAAACCGAAGCAAAUGUAAAUGUUAGCUUAUUAUUAUUUCAGAGAUUGCUUCUGUAUGUUUGUUCACAGAAAUGAACAAGAAAUAAGUUUAGGCCUUGGCCAUGUGUGUAACGUUAAAACUAGGCCAGUAGAACACCAGUGUCUAUAUGAAGAGGUGAGUUACCAUAUAUUUCUCAUUUGAAAGAUUGUCUUCACCUAACUAAAAUGUUCUGCUGGGCAAGGUGGCAUUUUAAUUCUCUGGUUUGAAUUAAUUUUUUAGCAAAGAU
rnacentral:lncRNA from 1 species